UUUGCUUAACAAAUUUAUCAUAUCAUGCAUACACACACACUUUUUUCCAAGUGUGAACCUAGCCAAAACACAAUGGCAUUAUCGAUAAUAAUAUACAUGCACUAUACCAGUCAUAUAUUUAGCAAUUUACAUUGCAUACACAUAUUCACAUGGUUAGAUUGUAUUCACAAUACAAAAGGACCCAUGACUUCCAGCGGAGAUAUUUACAAUAAAAGGGAUUACUAUCGAAUGCCAGACACAUACCCAGGAGAUGCACUAUGGGGACU
rnacentral:lncRNA from 1 species